rnacentral:rRNA from 1 species
UACGUAGGGGCAAGCGUUAUCCGGAUUUACUGGGUGUAAAGGGAGCGCAGACGGAACUGCAAGUCUGAUGUGAAAGCCCGGGGCUCAACCGCGGGACUGCAUCGGAUACUGUGGAUCUGGAGUGCCGGAGGGGCAAGCGGAAUUCCUGGUGUAGCGGUGAAAUGCGUAGAGAUCGGGAGGAAUACCAGUGGCGAAGGCGGCCUUCUGGACUGACACUGACGCUGAGGUGCGAAAGCGUGGGUAGCAAACAGGAUUAGAUA